CCUACGGGAGGCAGCAGUGGGGAAUAUUGGACAAUGGGCGAAAGCCUGAUCCAGCCAUGCCGCGUGUGUGAAGAAGGCCUUCGGGUUGUAAAGCACUUUCAGUGGGGAAGAAAGCCUUGGGGCUAAUACCCUCGAGGAAGGACAUCACCCACAGAAGAAGCACCGGCUAACUCCGUGCCAGCAGCCGCGGUAAUACGGAGGGUGCGAGCGUUAAUCGGAAUUACUGGGCGUAAAGCGCGCGUAGGCGGUCUGAUAAGCCGGUGUUGAAAGCCCCGGGCUCAACCUGGGAACGGCAUCCGGAACUGUCAGGCUAGAGUGCAGGAGAGGAAGGUAGAAUUCCCGGUGUAGCGGUGAAAUGCGUAGAGAUCGGGAGGAAUACCAGUGGCGAAGGCGGCCUUCUGGACUGACACUGACGCUGAGGUGCGAAAGCGUGGGUAGCAAACAGGAUUAGAUACCCCAGUAGUC
rnacentral:rRNA from 1 species